rnacentral:rRNA from 1 species
UUCUUGAAAAUUAAUAAAGAUGGCGGUAUUUUAGUCUGUUCAGAGGAAUCUGCCCUAUAAUUGAUAUUCCACGAUUUAAUUUACUUGGGUUUUUAGUUUAUAUAUCGCUGUGGAUUAAAUAUUUUUGCUGAAUUUUAAUAUUUAUGAUUUUGUGAGAAAGGAUUUCAAGUCAAGAUGUAGCUUAUAUCCAAGAAGAGGUGGAUUACAAUAUUUUUAUUUUUGGUUAAUAGUUUGAAAUGAUUAUUAUAAAUUGGAUUUGAAGGUAAUUUUUUAUUAAGAUUUUAAAAAUGAUUUAAGCUCUAAAAUAUGUACAUAUCGCCCGUCGCUUUCACUAUAAAGUGGAAUAAGUCGUAACAUAGUAGAGGUACUGGAAAGUGCCUCUAGAAGGCGGAUUAAAGCUUUAAGAAGCGUUUUAUUUACAUUAAAGAGAUUGUUUUAAAUAGAUGUAGUUUGAAAGAUUAGCUAUCUAUUUAUUGAAAUAAGAUUUUAUUUAAAGGAAGUAUAUUUAAUUUUAGUAGGUUUACAGGAAAAAAUUAAUUUAGAUAUAGAGAACUAGUAUUGUAAAAGAAAACUUUUAUUGUGGGAAAAGAAGAAGUGGGAUUUUGUACCUGGGGUAUCAGGGUUUACUAAAAAUGGGCUAUGGGUUUAGUUUUCUCGAAUUUAAAAGAGCUAUUUAAUUAGGUAUUUUAUUGUGGCAAAAAUAUUUAUAAUAGUUAAAUAGGGGUGAAAUAUCAAUCGAUUUUAAAUAUAUCUAGUUUUUUAAGAAAAAAAUUUAAUUUUUCUUUAUUUUAUCAUUUUUCUUAAUUUUUAGUUAAAUGAUUAGGUAAUGUAAAUAGUUUAAGGGUUGAGCUUUGAACUGAAUCUAUAAAAUAAUUUUUUAAUCGUGGGCAGAUUAGUAGAAUUUGAAGUUUUUGUUUUAAGUGAUUUAUAUCUUGAUUGCUUUUUAAUAUGAUUUGUUAAAAUUAUUUAUGUUUUUUAUUAAAAUUUAAAUUUUAAUAAAAAAAGUUUAGAAAAAAUGGUAAAAUUAGUAUAAUUUAUAUUAAAUUUUUAAAUAUAGUUUAGGUUUAAUAAAGGAAUUCGGCAAAUAUAUUUCUCACCUGUUUAUUAAAAACAUGGCUUUUUGAUAAUAAUUUAAGGUCUAACCUGCCCAAUGAUUAAAUUAAAUGGCUGCAGUAUUCUGACUGUACAAAGGUAGCAUAAUCAUUAGUUUUUUAAUUGGAAGCUUGUAUGAAAGGUUGAAUGAAGAAAUUUCUGUCUCGGUUAAAAUUUUUUAGAAUUUUAUUAUUUAGUAAGAAGGCUGAAAUUAUUAUGAAAGACGAGAAGACCCUAUAGAGUUUUAUAGUUUUAGCAUGAAUAACAAUUGGGAUUCUA